UGAUGUCCUAUCACUGCGAACCGUAAAAAUUCCAGAACUAAUACAUUCCUCAAGUCCCAAAUGCCUGUGCGGAAGGGAUGUCUUUAUUAAAUCGAAACCAAUGCAGGGGCAACCCUGGUAUUGUGGUGAUUCAUAAUAACUGUGCAAAUCGCAUGGCCUCCCGCCGGCCAUAAAUCAUUCAAGUUUCUGCCCUAUCAACUUUCGAUGGUAGGGUAUUGGCCUACCAUGGCGUUAACGGAUAACGGAGAAUUAAGGCUCGAUUCCGGACAGGGAGCCUGACAAACGGCUACCACGUCCGAGGAAGGCAUCU
rnacentral:rRNA from 1 species